rnacentral:rRNA from 1 species
AGAGCGAACGCUGGCGGCAGGCUUAACACAUGCAAGUCGAGCGGGCGUAGCAAUACGUCAGCGGCAGACGGGUGAGUAACGCGUGGGAACAUACCUUUUGGUUCGGAACAACACAGGGAAACUUGUGCUAAUACCGGAUAAGCCCUUACGGGGAAAGAUUUAUCGCCGAAAGAUUGGCCCGCGUCUGAUUAGCUAGUUGGUGAGGUAACGGCUCACCAAGGCGACGAUCAGUAGCUGGUCUGAGAGGAUGAUCAGCCACAUUGGGACUGAGACACGGCCCAGACUCCUACGGGAGGCAGCAGUGGGGAAUCUUGGACAAUGGGGGAAACCCUGAUCCAGCCAUGCCGCGUGAGUGAUGAAGGCCUUCGGGUUGUAAAACUCUUUCGACGGGACGAUAAUGACGGUACCGUAGAAGAGCUCCGGCUAACUUCGUGCCAGCAGCCGC